rnacentral:lncRNA from 1 species
ACAAUCUAAAAAGUCUGACAAAAAAUUAAAAAAGAGAAAAGUUAAUGCAAAAUAAAAAAAAAGUAUGAGAAUUUAAAAACGCAAAUAAGAAAUGAAAGGAAAUUUGUGGAAAAAAAGAAAAGACAAAAGAUUUGGAAUAAAAAGAGAAAAAUAAAAAUUUUUAAAACAGCGAAAAAAUUAAAAAAAGUAAAAAUGAAAACAUAUGAAAAAAAAAAGCAAAAAGAAGGAAAAUUGCAAAGGGAAAAAGUUAUUAAGAAAUUACAAAGUAGAAAAAAAUAAAUUAAGAGAAAAAAUAAAAAAUUAGCGAAUCAAAAAAAUAUAAAAAGACAAAAUGAAUAAUCAAAUAUAAAAUGGAAAAAACUUUUAGUUUAUAAUUUACAAAGAAAAAGAAAAAAAAAUAACAAAUAGAGGAAAAAGAUAUAAAAUAUGAAAGAUGAAAAAUAAAAUAAAAGAAAGUGCACAAAAAAAUAAGUUUGAGGUUUUAAAGUUAUAAAGAAGAAAAAAAAAGGUGUGAACAAAAAGAUUUAAGAAAAAAAUAAAAAAUGAAAAUACAAAAUAUAUAAAAUAAAAUUUGAGAAAAAGAAGAAAAAAAUAAAGAAUGAAGAGGCAAAAAUAUGAAAUAAAACAAAAAGAAAAAAAUUUAUAGAAAAUUUUAAAACAAAGAAAAACCUGAACGAAAAAGAAUGAAAGCACAUAAAAAAAAGUAAAAAAAAGAAGAAAAAUUAUAAAAAUGCAACAGAAAAUAACCAAGAAUGAUAAAAGAAAAAAAGAUAGAAAAAUAAAAAAUUCCAAAACUUUAUAAAAAUUUAUGAAAUUAUGAAUAAAGAAAGAAAAUAAAAUAAGAAAAAAAAUUAAAGCAAAAGAAAAAAGAUAGAUAAAGC